UUCAAUCAUUAAUUCACCUGGACAUAAUGUUUAUGUAUGAUGAAAGAUUACCAUCUUUAUUUUCUUCUUUUUGGAUAACCAGAUAUCCUUGGGCCAUUUGUGUUCAACACAAGCUUAACCCCCAAAUGUCCCUUGAAUUCAUUUUGCCCUGAAGGACUUCAGGAUCCUUCCCUUUCUUUUCUAUAAUCCAUAUUCUGCAUGGUGUCAUGAAAUUUGUCUUUCUAAAAUACAAAUGUGAUCAUGUCACUCUGCUGAUUAAACUGUUUAAAUAACUUCUUUUUAUUGCCUACAGAAUAAAAGUCCAAUCCCUAAGCCUGUCAUAUUUAAGCUACUGCUGGGUAUGAUUGGGUCUUCUGACCAGGACCUCCAGGAAGCCGCAGCUGGAUGUAUAUCCAACAUACGCAGACUGGCUCUUGCUAUAGACAAGGCAAGAUACACUUGAAAUGUGCACAGACGUUACAAACUACCAAAUUUUACAUGACAGGGAACAUGUCAGUCCCAUGGCCAAGAAGCCUAGAUCAGGAAGCAUGUUGAGCAAAUGUUUUACAGACAGAUAAAUGUCUGAAUGAAAACACAGGAAUUAAAAAUGCAAAGGAUACUCUUCAUCCAAAAAUUGCAUAGAUAUUUUUGUUCUAUUUAAUAUUUUGGGGAUAUGCCAUGUAAUGAAAUGUAAAGCUAAUAAAAUUGUGAUACUUUUGUUUGUGAUGAUUUUAAUAAAAGAUAUGGCCUUCCUGGUGUGCA